UAGUUUUUACAUUUGACAGUU
rnacentral:piRNA from 1 species